CACUUAGUGUGCAUGACAUCAACUAGAAGGUACCAGAGACAAGGAUUGAGGGAAGAAAAUAUAAAAGCAUGAAGGAGAGAAAGAAAGACUUCUGAUAUCAUAGCUCAAAUCAUUACAACCCACUCAUGCCCCCCUCCCCUAAAAGUUAGGCACACUAUAGCUGUGCCAUCAUCACUCCAGGGCCUGGAAAGGUAUCAAAAGUUUCUACAACAAGUGCAGGUCUUCAGACAAGAUCAGAAAAUUCACUCCCUGUCCAAAGUCAAUGUCUCACUUUCUCAGGAAACUCUAUCCUAAUGCCUCACAGGACGUCCUGCAGAAAAGUGAACUAUUUCCAGAUAGAUGUAACUGAGGAAAGAAGGAAGGCCUACCCUUGAGAUAUGUAGCACCAUCCCAAGGGCUGCCAUCCUGCACUACAUGAAAGAGAGGAAGCAAGCUGAGCGCCAGCAUUGAUCUCUUUCGCUUUGACCAGAGACACAAUGAAGCCAAUCACCUUCCCUGCUAUGAUUCUGUACCUUCAAACUGGGAGCCAAAAUAAAACCUUUCUUCUG